rnacentral:lncRNA from 10 species
CUCUGGGUCUCGCACGCAGCAGCUGCAGACGCUGCCCGGCGCGGUGGGGCUGUGAGCAAAACGGCCCGCCGGUGUGGUUGCCCAGACUGUGCUGGGCCCUCCUAGGUGGAUGGCCCUGCCCCAGCCUAACUUCUGUACCCCAGCAUAACCUCCAAAGUAACAGCCGUGCCCUGGGAGCCUGUUCAACACUGAACAUAUCCCACAAUAACACUGUUCCAGCGUCGCUGGUAAAAAGCAGAAAUGGCUUCGCUGGAGGCAUCGACAAAUCUAAUGCAGUAACCUCAUUUUACAGAAGAGAACUCUAAGAGGAUAACUAACUUGGCCAAGAUCACAUGAUGUUUCUGGAUGAGAUUAGCAUUCAAAUUCGUGGACUCAUUAAAGUAGAUGGCUCUCUCCAAUAUGGGUGGGCAUCAUCCAAUCUGUUGAAGGCGUGAAGAGAACAAGAGAAGGAGGAAGGAAGAAUUCACCUUUUUUCUUGCUGCCCACCUGCUUGGGCUGGGACAUUGCAUCUCACCUUCUCCAGCCUUUGGAUGAGGAUUUACACCCUGGUUCUCAGGCCUUCAGGCUCUAACUGGAGCUACACUAUCAACUUUCCUGGGCCUCCAGAUUGCAGAUGGUGGAUCACGGUACUUUUUAGCCUCCAUCAUAAUAUGAGAAAAAAGAGGCACAGUGAAGCUAAAUAUAUUGGCUAAAGAUCACAAAGCUAAGUUGAAAUUUUUCAAGAUGAAAAGUUGCUAAAGAAAGAGAAAGGGAAGCGGUUUGCUCCAGUAUUCCUCUUUCCACCUUCCCACUGACUGGGAAGCGGCGGUUAGCAGAGCCACAGUCUUGGAUUAGAGAUAAGAGGGACAUGUUGAGGAAGGUGGAGUCUCCCCCACAGCCCUGGACCAGGCUCCAGUGCCAACAAAAGCCAAGAAGAACCUCUGGAGCAAUCAGUCUAAAUUAGUUGAUAACGUCUUCCAGGAGACCUACGGCCAUCCUACUGAUAUGAACCAGAUCAUACCUGCCCUGAUGGGAUGCCAGAGAAAGACUGCUGCAAGGUACGCGCCACUCACAGACCUCUCCAUUUAUCUCACUGAUGCAAAGGACCCUGAGUAGGGAUCCUCUGGAAACAGAACAGAGGGAAGAAGAUACCUUCCCUGAAGCCCAGAUGUUCCAGAAGCCUGCGCCUCAUUCACAAAGUCACCCCAAAAAUGCCCUAGAGUUUGGAGUUUUGAAGAAGCGGGAAGAAGGCCUGAGUAAGGGCCUGGGAACCAAGUUAGAUCCUACUUCAGCAUCAGCACAUGCCAGCGAUGGUGCACACAGGUGGAGAGCGGCCUGCCCGUCUUUUCCAUGGUGCCCACAGACCCAUUUAGGAUGAAAGAUCAGAAAAUUCUCUCCAUGUCACCGCUUCUGAAACAUGUGAAUAUUAAUAUUUGGUGCCUAAAAGGCCAUGGCAAAUUUUCAUUGGUUUUAUCUUAUUCAUGAUUAUAGAGUUGAAAGAAUACAUAUUCCCAUGGGGAUCAAUGAAGACAUUCUCAUUUUGAAUGAAGUAGAAUAUAAGUUGUAAAGAUAUAGAAUUUUCCUGAACUGAACCUUGAACCAAAAAUCCCCUCAAUUAACCUGGAACUAAACACAGUCCCUGAAGAUAACAAGGAGUUUCAGGAUGCCACAGGGCUGUCUGUGCAGUAUGGGGCUUCUUGCUCUAUCUCUGGUAUCUGAGGCAGAUAGGCUACUCAGGCCCCUCUCUGGUCUCAAGGUGGGCUGGCUGAGAUGUCAGUUUCUUCCUCAGUGACAGCUUGGGUACAGUAUGUGUAAACUGAUUGUCAGCUGAGCUGAAGGGACUCUGCCCAUAUUGGAGUGUUCUACAAGAAGAGGUGUCAAACCUAAAGGUCUAAAAUUACUAUGAAAGGAGUAUUGGAAACCACUGGGACAAUUGUGAUCACAACUGGUGGUAGCCUUCUCGUUUGGGUGAGAAAGACAGAAAGGAGGAAGAUGUGUUAGUCAAGGUUCUCUAGAGGGACAAAACUAAUAGGAUAUAUGUAUAUAUGAGAGGGAGUUUAUUAAGGAGAAUUGACUCACUUGAUCACAAGGUAAAGUCCCAAGAUAGGCUGUCUGCAAGUUGAGGAGCAAGGAAGUCAUUGGUGGAUUGUUCUGGGUACCAAAACCUCAAAAGUAGGGAAAUCGACAGUGCAGCCUUCAGUCUGUGGUCAAAGGCUCGAGGGGCCCUGGCAGACCACUGGUGUAAGUCCAAGAGUCCCAGAAGCUGAAGAACUUGGAGUCUGAUGUUUGAGGGCAGGAAGCAUCCAGCACAGGAGAAAGACGGAUGCUGGAAGACUUAGCAAGUCUGUUCUUUCCAAUUUCUUCUGCCUGCUUUUAUUCUAGCCAUGCUGGCAGCUGAUUAGAUGGUGCCCUCCCAAAUUGAGGGUGGCUGUGCCUCUCCCAGUCCACUGACUCAAAUGUUAAUCUCCUUUGGCAACACCCUCACAGACACACCCAGGAACAAUACUUUGCAUCCUUCAUUCCAAUCAAGUUGACACUCAAUAUUAACCAUCACAGAAGGAGAAUUUCAGGCUGAGUCCAAACACUAUGGCCCCAGCCCCAGCUUCCCCUUUCUGGGUUGAAUAACCAGACUGAGCCUAAGAAAAGGAAAAGAGUUGACUUUCUCCCAAAAGGCCUGCAGCGGGUUAGAAAGCAAUGGUUUGGGGACCAUACUGAGUGCCUAGGAUGCUCUGGACCACAAAGCUUGAAGUCAAAUUGUUCAUGCACUUGUUUCAUGAUAGGAAGAGAGAGAGAGAGAGAGAGAGAGAGAGAGAAAUUUCCUUUCCUUGAAGAAUGGCAAAACACGUCUCUUGUUCUGGGGGCUAUAUCUUGAAGGGUAUCUGAUCUCCCCCUCAUGGGAGGAACUAGAAUGCCCUAAGGCAGCCGUGGCUCCUGGAGCUGAGAGAUCUUUCUGACACUUUGUGAGAGCUGCAAGGCUAAGUCUGGAGCCAGAAAAGUCCAUGUGGACAAGUGCAGAGCAAGCAGAUCUGAGACACAUGUGGGAGCAAGCUGGACAUGUCCAAAAGUCAGAGGAAGCAAGAGCAGACAUGCAUGAGCAGGCAGAUGAGGCUGGUGCCCAGGCAGCAGGCUGAGGCUCUGGCUGGGCUUUGGAUGCUCCUGAGAGUCCAGUUAGAGACCAGUGAGCAAACCCACAGUGAACUCUUAUUCCUCACGCAGCAGGACGAGGGAUUAAGCACAAAGCCUUAAAGGUCUGAGUGUCUCUUUAUCCUGACCUCAGGAAAGAGAGGCAAGUAUCAUGUUUCUAAAAGUCUGAGAAGUCUUCACAUGACAGCCUACACCAAAAGAACUCAAAUGCACAUCCACUGCAUACACGCAUGUGUGCACACAUAUACAUGUGUACACAUGCAUGCCCACACACAACCCUCUGGAAGAGGAAGUAAAGAGACUUUAUGUUUUCAGCCCCUCUUGAGGAAACUUAAACUAAGUCUUUCUGUGGGGUUAGUGGUGGAGACAGAGAGGGUCUGGGGUCACCGAGGCCGAGGUGGCUGGACCCAGAGGGUAGAGCUGAGGGGAUCCCCUGAGACUGGGAAGAUGGAGCAGAAGCAGAUGGCAGAUGGCAGCAGGUGAGAGCAGACUGGAUUUCUCCUAAAUCACCAGAUCCAGCCAACCUUUCUUUCCUUAGGGACACCUCUAGAUCCCAUUCCAAAUGAACUCUUUCUCUGACCUUUCACCUCAAUUCAGAAUUUGGGAAAUUUAGCCAUGAUCUUAGGAACACAGAGGCUUGAAACAAUCUUUUCUAACCACCCGUUUGUUCAGACUGUGUAAGUUCUGCUUCUGCAUCCAGUGUCAACACCCAAGAACCAUUUUAAAGGGGAGCCAUCCUUUGAAAUUAAACUUCUUUUAAUAAUAAAGACAGAUUUCAGGGUUGACAUAAAAGAUAGCCACAGUAAAGCCAAUCCUCCAGUGUAUAACAUUUUUCAAAGUUUCCUUCCUCUUCAUUGCUGGUGUUCAUGUACAGUCCAGAGUUAGUCUACAUUAAAUUAUAGAUUGUUUUCAGCAAUAAUGCAAACAUUUGGAAGCCUUCAAACUCUCUGAUAACUAACUUCUACAUUCUCUCUGCUAUUAUUAUAUAGAAAGGGAAAUUUUACCUGAUGCUGUUAAAGUCCUCACGAACAUAGUGAUCCGAAUUGGCUGAAGUGGAAAACUAAAUGUUAGCUGAUUUUCAAAACAAGAUUUCCACUCUGAAUUCCCAUUUUUCACAUGUGAUCAUAUGCCUUGUUGUGAAGUUGAACUAAAAAGAAACUCCAUGCCCACUGGCUUAAUGCUAGAAGAUAAUCUACAGCAUAGUAAUUUCUUAGACUUCACUUUAUUAGCCACUAAACUUGGAAUGAUUAUUUCUAUGUUCAAUUAUUAAGUCUAUAUCUCCAUUUCUUAAAAAGGUCUGAGGCAGCCCCUUUGAAUAUUAAUACGCAUUUAUUUUCACCUCUCAAAUAAAA